rnacentral:rRNA from 1 species
UACGUAGGGUGCGAGCGUUGUCCGGAAUCACUGGGUGUAAAGGGUCCGCAGGUGGACAGGUAAGUCGGUGGUGAAAGCUGCCCGCUCAACGGGUAAAUUGCCUUCGAUACUGCUUGUCUUGAGUGUGGGAGAGGAUGAUGGAAUUCAUGGUGUAGCAGUGAAAUGCGUAGAUAUCAUGAAGAACACCGGUUGCGAAGGCGGUCAUCUGGCCCACAACUGACGCUCAGGGACGAAAGCGUGGGGAGCAAACAGG